UGGUUACUUGUUGCAUGAUCAUUAACACA
rnacentral:piRNA from 1 species